UCCAAGGGCAGCUGUGUCUUCUCCUGAGAGAGCAGAGGAAGAGGCUCGUGUGGCUGUGUUAGUAGCCCUGACAACCAACUUAACCAGGGUCCCCAAAGGCCUCCCAGCCUGCACUGUCUAGUCAGCUUGCAGCGGGACACUGGGCCCUUGGCUUUGCAAGGCAGGAGAAGCAGCCAGCGUUGUUGGGGACGCACACAGGCAGGAGCCAUGGACUCCUUUCAGUGUGAGCGAAGCACCACGCUGCUCAGCCUCUAACCCAACUGCACUGGCUGCUGUUCCUCCAGGAGAGAGGGCGCGGUGGGUGCCAAGGGAAGGCUGAGCUUGCCUCUGGCUCGGGGAGGAGGCAGGGAGGACGUAAAAGGCUCACAUUGGAGCUGCCUCCUGACAGAUACAUAGUAUUUUCCAGGUAGGGAGGUGGUGGGUAAGGAGGACUGGUCUAUUCUAGAACCUGCUGGUUCUUUCCUUUUGACAGGCAAACUGAGGCUUCAGAAAUAGGAGGAGGUCACGUGAUGAAGGGACUUCUCAGGGAUGCUAAGGAGUUUGGGCUUUGAUACAACCCCUGAAAGGUCUUAGGCAGGGUAAUAUCCUCAUCAGUUCUGUUCUUAAGAAAGACCCCUCCAGGCUAAGUUUUUGGGAGAAAUUUUCAUCCUUUUUGCCCUCCAGCUAAUUUUCUCUGUUACUUCUCUUGAUUACUUUCUCUUUUUCAGCCUCACAUCAGCUACCAGCUCUUCAGUGUCUUAUUUCUUUCCUUCCCAAACUUACUGCUGAUUCCCAAGUCCAAGUUCAAGCACUUUACUAACAUUUCUUUUAAUAGACUUUAUUGGGCUCUCCUUACGUCCUCGAAACUCGCCCACGCUGACUGCCUGGUCUCUCUAAGGCAGAGCUCCUAGUUUAAUGACCCAGGCUUCCAUGCGCGGUAAAGCUUCCAGCCCUUAGCUAGGCAGUCAGGUUCCUGCACCUUCCUGCACCUCCCCAUGUUUCCGCUCAGGAGCUGUCGUAGGCACACUGUCCUGGUCUCACUAAACACACCUUCUCAGUGCCACCACACUUGCGCGGCCACUGCCAGCCUCCACCCUUGCUUCUGUUGGCUGCGCCACCUCCUGCCUGACGCCUUCCUCUUUCAUGAAGCCCCUAGUGAGCAUUCCCUCCACUGCCCUCCUACAACAGCCAGCAAGGAGACCACCCAGGAGGUUCUUGGCACAUGAACGCUUUGUACUGUCACUUUUUUUUUUACGUGUCCAUAAGUCAUCUAUGAGGAGGGACCAUGUCUUAAGGGAGGAAUAGGAUGACAAAAAAAUAGCCUUGGGACAGGGCAAACCGGUAGGACUAGUCCCAGCUCCCACACCCUACAGCUUGGGAAACUCCAUCAACCUCUCUGGCCUUCGGUUCCCUUGUGUGUUAAAUGCCAAAUUGUGCAAGAGUGAUUUGGCCUCUGCUGUCCUUUCUUGCCUUGGGUGUGGCGAGUGUCCAAAAAGUGGGUGAUGGUGCCAUCUCAGGGUGGACUUUCACAGAGGGCCCCGACAAGCUAGAGGGGAUGUGUGUGUGUUUCUCUUUCAGGAGCCUGCUCCUUUCCAGUCGCUGCCCCAACUGGCCCCGGCACGUUGGUCUGGCUUGGAACAUCCUGUGGCUCUGGGAAGCAGAGCUCCCCAAGUGCCACUGCCACAGACGUGGGGGCGUGAACCCAGGCGCGGAACCGGCUGCGGGCUGCCCAGGUGAGGCGUUCGUGCGGCCUCUGGGAAGCCGUGGCAGUGCAGACAGGCUGCCCCUCGGAGCUCUGACAAGGCAGGCCUCCGGCCGGCGAGUCCCUGGGCAAGCCUCUGAGGUCGAUGUUGGCCCAGGGACCUCACGCACACUAUUUUAAGCUUUUACAAGCUCAAAAGGGAUAACGUCCCAGUGAUCCCCUUUAUCAUUUGGCCUUUUCCUCCAGAGCUGUCAUGACACGUGUUUUUUUAGCCACAUCUUAAGAAAUGGCAGCACAUUUGUUGGAGAUGGAAGACUAUCGUGUUUCUGAAGUCGGCCUCAGCCUGUCACUGGGAGCGCGGUUUGAAUCUUUAAACAGUCUACCCGCCUCAAGGGUCAGGCGACCUGGGGUCUGAGGCUGCCUCGAGGCCCUCGUCACAGAUGCUAUGUUUAAGCUAAAUUUCUUCCAAUUUUCUAAUUCACCAGUUAUUUUUGCAAGAGAAAUACAUGCACACAAUUUUGUAAAAAAAUUUAAGACUUAAAAGGAAAUUUGUAAUAAAAUUAAGUGGCCCUCAUAUCCCCCUUCCCCUCCCCAAAGGCAACCACCAAUAUCAGUUUCAUAUGGAAGCUUCCAGAAAUAUCCUGUGCAUGUGCUGGAGGGGUGUGUGUAAAAUCUCCCUCCUUUUUAUAUAAGUGAGAACCCAGUUUAGACAACUGUUACAAACUUUGCUUUUUUUCACUUAAAUAUCUUAGAGAUUUUUAGACACAUGUAGAUCUCAUUUUUUUCAGUAGUUGCAUAAUAUCCUGUUGUAUGGAUGGACCCAAAUGUCUAAUCUGCCCUCCCGGUGGCAGGUUACGUCACGCCCAGUUUUUGGCUUCUAUCUGUAAUGCUGCAGUGAACAUAUGGAUACUAUGCGGCUUUGGGCAUGUAUGUGGCAGUUUCUGUUACCUUUUCCCUGUAUUACUUUCUCUAACUCUUUGCAUGUCUUUCUCAGCAUUUCUUCUAGGCUUUUUACAGGCCCUUCAGUGGCUCUGCAGCCUCUGUCUCCCCUCAUGCCCAGGCAGGGGCAAACAGCCCACGACGCCAAAGCCACCAGCCUGGGAGCCAGGUGUCGGCGACGGACCCAGCGCUGCUCCCCGUGUGCUAUUUCAGGCUGUCAGGCGGGGGACCUGGAAUCUCCGCACUGGGAGAGAGAGAUCUGAAGGCUCCGUGGAUUCGACUCCUGCAGAAGCUUUCACCCUAACUGAUACUAUUUCCGUGCAGAGGAUGCAUCUGAUCUUAGCUGACUCUUUUUGAGUUAAAUUUUUUCAGAGUCUCCCUAAAGAGAGCUCUGCUUUGAAGUGUCAUACAUGGAGCUUCAAUAAAUUCUAAGCCUUUCAGACAAGUUCAAUGGAAGAAGACUCUGAUUUAUUGGGAUGACAGUGAACCCAGCUAAAAGACCACAAUUUUAAGCCUCCCUUGCCUCACCAAGUUCUGGCCAAUGAGAUUUGUGGAAUGCCCACAUGAUGGCUAUAGCUCCUACAGCGUGGGACCAUGAGGGGAGCUGGAGGAUGGAAGCCAGCGUCAGGACGGUGGAACAGAAAGGUCCCUGAUGACUCUGGAGCGACUGCACCAGCUCUUCACCUGAGUUCACUUCCUCCACUUGGGGGCAGAAGGAAAGGGGCCGUGAUGGACGAAGCACUGGUUGUGACCUGGGAGUCCUGAACUCAGUCCUGGCCCGACCCCUGACUGACAUGUGAUCUGUGGACCUCAGCCUCUUGAUCUAUAAAAGGGGAGACAACGGUGAGCAAGUUGCCAUGGCUUCUGCCCUCCUGAUGCUUACAGUCUGUCGGCAAACACAGCCAAGUAGUCACAAAGUAUAACGUGUGCGCCAGCAGGGAAGUGCACUUGUCAUUGGUGCCCGCGGCGGAAUCAGCGAACUUCCAGAGGAGUGUCUGUGCACAGAAGCACUGCGGCUCGCACCGAAAUGCAGGUGCCUGGGCGCCAGCCCAGUUCUACCCCCUUUCUCCUGCCCAGGCAGGGCCAUGCGCUCCUGCUGCACUCUGCCGGGGGCACAGAGGCGCAGGACACGGGAGACAGGGCCCUCCCUCCUCGAGCUCCCUCCUCCUUUUGCUGUUGUGGUGCCUCUCGCCUGGCGUCUCUCCUCCCGCCCCCAUCUACUGCCCUCUGCCACUCUCUAGCAAGCACACUUCUGAAUCCACCAUGGUUUCUGGUUGCCAGACGCGAUUGGUAGUUGUCAGUCCUUGAUGACAGUAGCUACGUCACUUCCCUGUGCUUUCCAUCUCCCUCAGCGGACCGUGAGCUCUGGGAAGAUGGGGAGAGGGUCUUAUUCAUCCGUCAGAGCUUACCGAAUAAAAGGGAUAGGUAAUCUAAACUGAUUGAAUCUGUGCCUCUUCCCCCUUUUAACUUAUUUGAAAAUGCCCUUUUGUAGACUUGAGAUUCUUCAGAUGUGUGGCAAAAUAAGGUAGGUAUUUUCUUCAAUAUCUACAAGAGCAGCUUUAAGAACCAACUGACCCUGUUGACCUUUCUGGUUGUAAAUAGGCAUCUCGGUUUAAACUCCGUGAAAAUGAAAUUUUCGGGGGGAGCAAAUUCCAAAUGGCCCAAGGUCAAUUAAUUCGUGACCUCUUGGGGUGCAUUUCAGAACUGACCCUGACAGGCCCACUGGGAAGCAGUUCUGUACAGUGAUAGGGCCUGUUUACCCACAGUGGACUAAGUGAAUGAUUGCGAGGCCUUACAAUGGAAUACUAGAGAGCUGUUAAAAAGGAGUGAGGCAAAUCCAUGUGGACUGAUGUGGAAAGAUCCCUGGUGUGUGUUAUUGAGAGGCAGAAACAAGGGCAGGUCCAAAUACAGAUUCAUCCCAAAUAUGGGCCUGUAUGUGCAGUCACUUUUUUUUGGAAGAAGACAUGAAAAACUGCUACCAGCCUACGUAUGGAGGAUGGGGAAUGCCCAUUUCAUAUCUUUCUGAACUAUUUGAAUGCUGUGACCAUGUGCAAGUAAUUUUUAUAUAACAAGAAAUUAACUGGCUUCAAAAGUUGUAAUUUUCAGAACAGCAACACUGCCAGUCUUCCAAGGUCAAGAGAGCAGACCAGCUCCUCGAGCUUCCCAGGCAUGCGUCACUCUCGCUGGCAGCUCUGGCACCCAAGUCUCAGGGUGGCUUUGCUACGUUCUUCUUGGACCUACUGGCUCUCAUGAAGAAAUAAAAAUGUUACUUCUUUAUGACAAAUUCUCCUGAAAGAAAGCCAGCUGCCUAUGAAACAAGGAGAAGGUCAAGCCAGAAAAAAACCGAAAUUCUGAAUAAAUAAAAAAUUAGAACAUCAAA